rnacentral:rRNA from 1 species
GACGAACGCUGGCGGCGUGCUUAACACAUGCAAGUCGAACGGAAAGGCCUGCUUUCCCUUGUGGAUUGCGGGUACUCGAGUGGCGAACGGGUGAGUAACACGUGAGUGAUCUGCCCCCAACUUGGGUAUAAGCCUGGGAAACUGGGUCUAAUUCCCGAUAGGACUGCAGGGUGGUGCCUGUGGUGGAAAACGAUUUUCUAGUGGUUGGGGAUGAGCUCGCGGCCUAUCAGCUUGUUGGUGGGGUAAUGGCCUACCAAGGCGGCGACGGGUAGCCGGCCUGAGAGGGUGGACGGCCACAUUGGGACUGAGAUGCGGCCCAGACUCCUACGGGAGGCAGCAGUGGGGACUAUUGCACAAUGGGCGGAAGCCUGAUGCAGCGACGCCGCGUGGGGGAUGACGGCCUUCGGGUUGUAAACUCCUUUCGACCGCGAGGAAGCCACCUGGUUGGAAGGGUGGCGACGGUAGUGGUAGAAGAAGCACCGGCUAACUACGUG